rnacentral:rRNA from 1 species
AGAGUUUGAUCCUGGCUCAGAAUCAACGCUGGCGGCGUGCCUCAGACAUGCAAGUCGAACGCGAAAGUUUCCUUCGGGGAGCAAGUAGAGUGGCGCACGGGUGAGUAACACGUGGGUAACGUGCCCCAAUGACUGGGACAACCCGGGGAAACCCGGGCUAAUACCGGAUGUGCUCCUUCCACAUCAGUGGAUUGAGUAAAGGUAGCUUCGGCUUCCGCAUUGGGAUCGGCCCGCGGCGCAUUAGCUUGUUGGUGAGGUAACGGCUCACCAAGGCUUCGAUGCGUAGCUGGUCUGAGAGGACGAUCAGCCACACUGGGACUGAGACACGGCCCAGACUCCUACGGGAGGCAGCAGUGGGGAAUCUUGCGCAAUGCGCGAAAGCGUGACGCAGCAACGCCGCGUGGGGGAAGAAGGCCUUCGGGUUGUAAACCCCUUUCAGGAGGGACGAAGCCUGGCUGGUGAAUAGCCAGUCCAGGUGACGGUACCUCCACAAGAAGCCCCGGCUAACUACGUGCCAGCAGCGGCGGUAAUAC